AUGAACGCUAGCUACAGGCUUAACACAUGCAAGUCGAGGGGCAUCAGGAAGAAAGCUUGCUUUCUUUGCUGGCGACCGGCGCACGGGUGAGUAACACGUAUCCAACCUGCCCUUUACUCGGGGAUAGCCUUUCGAAAGAAAGAUUAAUACCCGAUGGCAUAAUGAUUCCGCAUGGUUUCAUUAUUAAAGGAUUCCGGUAAAGGAUGGGGAUGCGUUCCAUUAGGUUGUUGGUGAGGUAACGGCUCACCAAGCCUUCGAUGGAUAGGGGUUCUGAGAGGAAGGUCCCCCACAUUGGAACUGAGACACGGUCCAAACUCCUACGGGAGGCAGCAGUGAGGAAUAUUGGUCAAUGGGCGCUAGCCUGAACCAGCCAAGUAGCGUGAAGGAUGAAGGCUCUAUGGGUCGUAAACUUCUUUUAUAUAAGAAUAAAGUGCAGUAUGUAUACUGUUUUGUAUGUAUUAUAUGAAUAAGGAUCGGCUAACUCCGUGCCAGCAGCCGCGGUAAUACGGAGGAUCCGAGCGUUAUCCGGAUUUAUUGGGUUUAAAGGGAGCGUAGGUGGACUGGUAAGUCAGUUGUGAAAGUUUGCGGCUCAACCGUAAAAUUGCAGUUGAUACUGUCAGUCUUGAGUACAGUAGAGGUGGGCGGAAUUCGUGGUGUAGCGGUGAAAUGCUUAGAUAUCACGAAGAACGCCUAUUGCGAAGGCAGCUCACUGGACUGCAACUGACACUGAUGCUCGAAAGUGUGGGUAUCAAACAGGAUUAGAUACCCUGGUAGUCCACACAGUAAACGAUGAAUACUCGCUGUUUGCGAUAUACAGUAAGCGGCCAAGCGAAAGCAUUAAGUAUUCCACCUGGGGAGUACGCCGGCAACGGUGAAACUCAAAGGAAUUGACGGGGGCCCGCACAAGCGGAGGAACAUGUGGUUUAAUUCGAUGAUACGCGAGGAACCUUACCCGGGCUUAAAUUGCAGUGGAAUGAUGUGGAAACAUGUCAGUGAGCAAUCACCGCUGUGAAGGUGCUGCAUGGUUGUCGUCAGCUCGUGCCGUGAGGUGUCGGCUUAAGUGCCAUAACGAGCGCAACCCUUAUCUUUAGUUACUAACAGGUCAUGCUGAGGACUCUAGAGAGACUGCCGUCGUAAGAUGUGAGGAAGGUGGGGAUGACGUCAAAUCAGCACGGCCCUUACGUCCGGGGCUACACACGUGUUACAAUGGGGGGUACAGAAGGCAGCUAGCGGGUGACCGUAUGCUAAUCCCAAAAUCCUCUCUCAGUUCGGAUCGAAGUCUGCAACCCGACUUCGUGAAGCUGGAUUCGCUAGUAAUCGCGCAUCAGCCACGGCGCGGUGAAUACGUUCCCGGGCCUUGUACACACCGCCCGUCAAGCCAUGGGAGCCGGGGGUACCUGAAGUACGUAACCGCAAGGAUCGUCCUAGGGUAAAACUGGUGACUGGGGCU
rnacentral:rRNA from 1 species